rnacentral:lncRNA from 1 species
GGGUUGGACAAUUGAAAUUGUGUCAGUUAAGAGUUAUUUAGCCACGACAAUAGCUGUGCUACUUUCAUAUUUUCCCUUUGAAAAAGUUCAGAAUGAGAUCAUCUUGACUAGUAAAAAAAAAAUGACAAUACGCUGCAACAGUAUCCUUCUAGUAAGAACAUUUUUAUUUUGACUUCCUUUGCAUUUUAUUAAGGGGUGUGUCACUUC